rnacentral:rRNA from 1 species
UACGAAGGGGGCUAGCGUUGCUCGGAAUCACUGGGCGUAAAGCGCACGUAGGCGGGUCUUUAAGUCAGGGGUGAAAUCCUGGAGCUCAACUCCAGAACUGCCUUUGAUACUGAGGAUCUUGAGUUCGGGAGAGGUGAGUGGAACUGCGAGUGUAGAGGUGAAAUUCGUAGAUAUUCGCAAGGACACCAGUGGCGAAGGCGGCUCACUGGCCCGAUACUGACGCUGAGGUGCGAAAGCGUGGGGAGCAAACAGG